rnacentral:rRNA from 1 species
CCUACGGGAGGCAGCAGUGGGGAAUAUUGGACAAUGGGGGGAACCCUGAUCCAGCGACGCCGCGUGAGUGAAGAAGUAUUUCGGUAUGUAAAGCUCUAUCAGCAGGGAAGAAAGAAAUGACGGUACCUGACUAAGAAGCCCCGGCUAACUACGUGCCAGCAGCCGCGGUAAUACGUAGGGGGCAAGCGUUAUCCGGAUUUACUGGGUGUAAAGGGAGCGCAGGCGGCACGGCAAGCCUGAUGUGAAAGCCCGCGGCCCAACCGCGGGACUGCAUUGGGAACUACCGGGCUGGAGUGCCGGAGAGGUAGGCGGAAUUCCUAGUGUAGCGGUGAAAUGCGUAGAGAUUAGGAGGAACACCAGUGGCGAAGGCGGCCUACUGGACGGUGACUGACGCUGAGGCUCGAAAGCGUGGGGAGCAAACAGGAUUAGAUACCCUGGUAGUC